AAUUUGGCGAUGAUGGAGAGAGUAGGCUAGUACGGUUUCACAGGGAGAAUACGCCAUAGAUUGAGAGCGUAUUCAACACGGCUAGCGGAAGUUCACUCCUGAGCUUUCGGACUGAAAGGACAUUGUUUGUCCAAGUAGGCCGGACGCGUUUUCCGCGUUAGAGGAAAAUGAGUACAAAUUAGGGUGGUACCGCGGGAGUCUGGACUUUCGCCCCUUGA
rnacentral:ncRNA from 1 species